GGGCGCAUGGUGUAGUUGGUUUAUCACGCCCGCUUAGCAUUCAUUAGCAUGCGGGAGGUGUUGGGUUCAAUUCCCAAUGUGUCCA